rnacentral:rRNA from 1 species
GACGAACGCUGGCGGCGUGCUUAACACAUGCAAGUCGAACGGAAAGGCCCUGCGUUUGUGGGGUGCUCGAGUGGCGAACGGGUGAGUAAAACGUGAGUAACCUGCCCUUGACUUUGGGAUAACUUCAGGAAACUGGGGCUAAUACCGGAUAGGAGCUCCUGCAGCACGGGGGGGGAUGGAAAGAUUCGGCGGUUGGGGAUGGACUCGCGGCUUAUCAGCUUGUUGGGGGGGUAGUGGCUUACCAAGGCUUUGACGGGUAGCCGGCCUGAGAGGGUGACCGGCCACAUUGGGACUGAGAUACGGCCCAGACUCCUACGGGAGGCAGCAGUGGGGAAUCUUGCACAAUGGGCGGAAGCCUGAUGCAGCAACGCCGCGUGCGGGAUGACGGCCUUCGGGUUGUAAACCGCUUUCGCCUGUGACGAAGCGUGAGUGACGGUAAUGGGUAAAGAAGCACCGGCUAACUACGUG